GCACAGCACUGUUCACAGUAGUUUUCAAACGUUUGCAAUAUUGUAGUAUGGUUAGUAUACCAAUAGUUUUCAAGUGAUCUGUACGUAGGGUUGUCCAUUCUUGAGUACGACACGAAAACGUGCAGUUGCCAAACGUUGGACAGGAUUACUUAGUUGCCCAAGGUUGCCAAGCUUGCAAAUGCAGGCCCCGCCCACACAACUACAAGUGUCAAUGAUUGGGUGGAGCCUAACCACUGUUGUCUCCGCCCAACUACACAAAUGCACGUGGCUCAGUCCCAGUGUGCUAAAUAUUAACGGUGGACUAAAACUGAUUCUCUAUGCCCCAGAAGAAUCUAUACUGUCAACUACUAUAAUAAAUCUACUAACAUCACUUGCUAGAAACUACAAUAUCUUGGAGGAGGCCGAUCAAUGGAAGAUACUCACUAGGGUUGACUGAGGGUGAUAUUAGGCGUCAUUUAGAAGAAUCAACCCUGGAGGUGGAGGGGAUGUCGAUAAUGUUUCUAAGGUUAAAACAUGGUUGAAGUCAACUCCUCCUCAGCAAUUGUCUGCAAGGCGAGUGCUCAAUUUCCCAACUCCAUCAUCUGAAAUAUCGUCUAAGAAAUCAAUUGAGCAUAUCUGUAUGUAAAGGAAAAGAUACCGAUCAAAAAAAAGUACGAACAGAUUAGAAGGCAGUGGGCAGUUGACCAGAAGGAAAACAGUGAGGAGCUUAUUGAAAACAAAAGCAGAAAUAGCCGGUACAGGGCAAGACGCCUCAUGAAAUUUCAGAAUCGUGGAAUGUGUGUGAAACCAACAGAGAGUAAAUAUUGGAGCCAAUUGAAUAUGCUGUACAUAACUGAGGAGUCUGACGAUGGGGAAGACAAAUCUGUAAUAGUGGAGCAUAAACUUCAGUGGCGAUCACAAAAGCUCAAUGAGUAUAUGAUGGAAUUGGACAGCCGUUAUGAGACAAAGAUUAAAAAAGAUGAUGGUGCAGUAAUGGCUAAAAAGUCAAGAAAGCUUGGCGAACCUUCCACAAGUCAUGUUCCACCCAAAUGGGCUAUCAUGAGUCAAUCUGAUUCUGAAGAAACAUUCGAACUUUAGACCUCUUAUCAAUCCAUGUAACAUUUCACUUAUUUAUUCUCCCAUUGAUCUUUUGUGCGAUGUACGUCAUGCUUGCUAAUUAUCAAUUCAAAGUAUUGUUUCUAAUUAUAAGA